GACGAACGCUGGCGGCGUGCUUAACACAUGCAAGUCGAACGGACAGGCCCUGCUCUUGUUGCGUGCUCGAGUGGCGAACGGGUGAGUAACACGUGAGUAACCUCCCCUUGACUUUGGGAUAACAUCAGGAAACUCCGGCUAAUACCGGAUAUGAGCUCCUGCUCCAUGGUGGGGGUUGGAAAGUUUCGGCGGUUGGGGAUGGACUCGCGGCUUAUCAGCUUGUUGGUGGGGUAGUGGCUUACCAAGGCUUUGACGGGUAGCCUGCCUGAGAGGCGGACCGGCGACAAUGGGACUGAGAGAGGGCCCAGACGCCUACGGGAGGCAGCAGUGGGGAAUAUGGCAGAAUGGGCGGAAGUGAGAUGCAGCAACGCCGCGUGCGGGAUGACGGCCUUCGGGUUGUAAACCGCUUUCGCCUGUGACGAAGCGGGAGUGACGGUAAUGGGUAAAGAAGCACCGGCUAACUACGUG
rnacentral:rRNA from 1 species